GGUCAGAGGUGUAAGUGCGGUAACGUAUUUAGCUGACUGAUACUAAUAGGUCGAGGGCUUGACCAAUAUAA
rnacentral:rRNA from 1 species